rnacentral:rRNA from 1 species
AUUGAACGCUGGCGGAAUGCUUUACACAUGCAAGUCGAACGGCAGCACGGGGCAACCUGGUGGCGAGUGGCGAACGGGUGAGUAAUACAUCGGAACGUGCCCAAUCGUGGGGGAUAACGUAGCGAAAGUUACGCUAAUACCGCAUACGAUCUACGGAUGAAAGCGGGGGAUCGCAAGACCUCGCGCGAGUGGAGCGGCCGAUGUCAGAUUAGGUAGUUGGUGGGGUAAAGGCUCACCAAGCCAACGAUCUGUAGCUGGUCUGAGAGGACGACCAGCCACACUGGAACUGAGACACGGUCCAGACUCCUACGGGAGGCAGCAGUGGGGAAUUUUGGACAAUGGGCGCAAGCCUGAUCCAGCCAUUCCGCGUGCAGGAUGAAGGCCUCGGUGUAACGUAGCUUUGUUACGGUAACGAAAC